CACUGAGUGUUGCUGUGUGCUAGUUAAUGUUGUAGGAUCAACUGUACCAUAGAAUGCCUGAUUUUUCACUCAGUCUAUGAGAAAUGGAGAUUAAUAAACAAAUACAACAUAAGGUUACAUUCUUAGGUCUUAGGAAAUCCUGAAUGGCUGCUUGCCUGGAGUGUUCACUGGGAAGAGCAAGAAGCCAUGAUGGCUGGCAGAUCGAGUGGGGAGCAGCUCGGAGGAAAGGAGAGGAACAGAUGGUCUGACCCGCCGUGGUAAAGAAGGGGAAUUCCGCACUGAGCACAGAGCCUUGGGCAUAGGGAGUGUGAUCUGCCUUCCACUUUAAUAGAAUCACUCUGCUACGCAGAAUCAUUGCCCCCAGAGAGAUUCAUGCCCUAGUCCUCGGAUCCUGGAAUAUGCUAUAUUACCUUGUAGGAAAGAACUAAGUUUGUAAAUAGAAUAAGACACUAAACAGCUGACCUUGGGAUGGGGAGACUCCGCUGGGUCAUCCGGAUGGCCCUCGUGUAAUCACAAGGGUCCUUUUAAGUGGCAGAAGUGGAGAAGGUGCGGUCCACGUCUCUGGCUGUGACAAUGGAGGAAGGGACCCCUGCAUCAAGGAGUGGAAAAAGCAAUAAAAUGGACUCUGCCUCAGAGCCUCAGGAAGGAGCACAGCUGCUGACACCUUCCUAUCAGACCAGUGUGAUCCACCUGGGAUACAGAACCUCCAGAACUGCAGUUUAAAACUGUUGUUUUAAACUACUAAUAUUUGGUACUAUAGUACAGCAGCAGAAGGAAAUGUACAUGAUCCUUGUGACUGCUCUGUUGUGCACAGACUCUGGUGAUGUGUAAAGAAAAACUAAAGGAGCAUAGUUAAGAGCCAUUUUAACAAUCCAGUUAAAGUGCACAGAAUGUCUACUCUCCAAACAUCUUGCUGUAGAUAACUUGAAGAAGAGAGGGUGGAAAGGACAGAUGGGGCAGAAGGAGAACAAGAACAUUUGUUUCUGAUACUGCUGUCUUCAAGAAGGAAAUGUGGCAGUCUUUUGAGCUGUGAAUGGCAGGUGUGCCUUUGAUCCAGUGUGGGAGAGUCUAGGUCCAUUUUCGAGGAGGUAUCAGAUUUUAAUAUUCCCCAAGUGAUAUAACAAAUGACACCUCGUGUUCCUGGACUUUUUCUGGGGCUUGUUUCCAUUGGUGGAAAGUCCACAAAAGAGUGAUUCGAGCUUGGAGCAGAUGGUGCGUGAGUCUACCGCUGAACUCUGCUUGUAGCCUGAGGAAAACUUUAUAUUGAAGGUGGAAUAAUGGCUUUCUGCUCAGUUUGUUGUAAAUUCUAAAUGAGGUGAUUGAAAGCUGUAACGAUCAGUGGUGUUGGGCGCCUUUGGCUUCAACAUCUGGCGAAUGCCUGUACUAGCUGACAGCCUCCGCCCUGGCACUGCAAGCCUGCUGCCUGGACCCUCGUCCUAAGGAGGCUGGGAUUACACUACAAGCAAGUAGCACUAGUCCUGUACCAAGACAAAGAAGAAGAAGGAAAAAACCUUUAUUUUCAGGAUUAAGUUCACCACGGUCCAUUUAGUAAGCACAGAGCCUUUUACAUAUUAUUAUGGAAAUGCUGCCAUCUCUGCUGUUAAAAACCCUACGAUUUUUAUUACAUUUUUAUCUCAAGAAUUUAAACAGAUAUGCUAGUUCUUUGUAGUCUCUGGCAGAGACAAAUCCAAAGUGCUAACAAGCACAAGAUAACUUCAGGAAAGCUGGCUCUGGGCCUGAUAUCUGGUUCAAGUGGGAUUAGUGAAACUGAUAGGGUAAAAAAGGGCAGUAGUUUAUAUUCUGGGGCCUUACAGUGAGAUACAAAGACUGUCUAUGAUUUUCAAAGGGUUGGAAUUUAAAAGUCAGGAAGAUGUUUGAAGUAAAUAUUUUCAUCACUGAGAUCAUGCUAAAAUACUUUUAAUCUAGGCUUUGGGUGAUUAAUACGUUUCAAAUAAGAUGAAAAGUAACACUUUAAAAAGGAAAUGAUCACUUGGGUCUGUUAAAGGUAUAAAACAAUGUUCUUUCUCUCAUUUUGUCAAUAAUUUAAAAAUCACUUUUAGAUGCUAUACCCAUAUUUAUUUGUGUCCACAUUUUAUAUACCUUGUUACUGGAUUUAGGGACCAUAAAUUUCUGGGUUUUUUUUUUUUUUAUGCAAAGCCUGUUUCAAUUUAGAAUCAGAGAGAGAAGGUCCGUGAGUAGGCUUGGGUCUGCUGGCUAUGAAUCUGCUGCUCCCAGAACUAAGGGUGUUGACAGAGUUACAGUCUGUGAUGUUUUAUCUUACAGAAUACAUUCCAUGUAAAAACAAAGUGAGAAGUUUCAAGGUGAAGGAGAUAAUAUGCCAUUAGGGAACUUUUCAGAAAGAAGAGGCUGACUUUUUUUGAGACAGCAAGUAGAGUCUCCUUGUAGAGCAAAAGUGGAGCCCUUUCUGAUAUCUAAAGCUUCCCCGAUCUAUCUAACAUAGGAAACAAAGUAACGCUGUGGCUUCUAGAGUUCCUACAAUGUCUACACCUGGAAAUUAUGUAGCUUUGUGUUCUCAUGCUCUGCAAAAAAUGCCAAGCCUAAUCUCUGAUGUGGAUUCCUAGCUGGUUGCUGAGUCAGUGCUGGGAACCAGCUGAUGCUCCUGCUGCUGAAGAUGAUGAUGAGGAGGAUGUUUGAAAUGAUGGUGGGGAGGCUGAAGAGGCAGAGGAGGUCGGUGGUGAUGUUGGGAUUGUGGCGGUGAGGAGGAAGAUGGGGACGCUGAGAAAGAUGGUGAGGAGAUGUUGGUAAUGAUGAUAUUGAUGACAGUAGGUAACCUUCAUUGACAUCGCGUCUUGGUCACUUCUCCAUUGCCAAGACCAUACCCGACACUCACAAGGUAAAGGAAGAGAGGUUUAUUUUGGCUUACAGUUUCAGGAGGUUCAGACCUUGGUUGGCAGAGUCAAAUGCAGGAAAAUUGUCAGUGUCAUGGUGGACAGAAAUGAUGCCUUUUUCUUUCAGAUCUUCCCUGCCCAGAGCACACUCAGUGACUGAACUCACCAGGGGGAAGAAUCCACCCCUGAGGAUAUGAUUUUACAAUCCUGGAAAAGCCUCACCCUUAGGUGCAUUAGAAUUUGGUGGGGGGAGGCACAUUCCAGGCCUAAACCAUAACAAAUAUCAAGAUGACGCAAUGUCUUAGAUGCUCCUAUAAAUGUUGAUACAUAUUUCAGGAACUCGGCCAGUAAGAUUGAUAUUUCAAAUCAGCCACCUUCAGAAAUCAGCUUUGGUAGCGUCUAGAAUUGCUACCUAGGUGAAUAAUGGGUCUUGUUGUAUACGAGUAUGUUAAAAACCAGACUUGAAGAAAAAUGAAUGUUUCACUAGGUAAGCAAUUGGCAUGUGAUAAGUGGCUUUAUCAUCUUAUCUCACAGAGUCUUUGUACAAAUCACAGAAGCAAGUGUGACUUUUAUCUUGGUUUGCCAGAUGCAGAAACUGAGGUCUACAAAGAUUAAGGAUCCUGCCCAAGGUCACCCAGCUAUUAAGUAGUGGACUCAGCACCUCAGCCCAGACUUUCUAACUGUAGAGUACCAGUGCUUAGCCAGAUCAGAACUAGGAAGUUAUUGCUUCUCUUGUUUAUUUCUGAAGCCAUCUAUAGGUCUCCUGACCCAGGCCAUCUCUGUCCUGUGCUACGUCAGAGCACACAACUCCAUUCGUGAGAUUACAGCCUGUUUCUUUUAGCUAUGGAUGUGAUGUUACAAAAUUGCAGCUUGGAUAUUACUGCUUUCUUUCAGGGAGCUAAUGAUGGAUAUGAAAUGAACCACUAGGGUAGAAUGGAGGAGAAUAAAGAAAGCUACUUGGAAACCAGGGCAAGCAGAGCUUGGUCACUCAUAAGAGGUGUGAUGCUGCACGUUAUGUAACUGCUCCGAGGCUCAUUUUCCUCUGCUGUAAAAGCAUCAGAGUAAAUCAUGCUCAAGGUCUCUUCAAGUUAUAUCAACUGAUACUUUUAAGGAGACUGAAGUCAUGGAUCACAUGAGGAAAUAGUUCCUAUUAUGUUCAUACUAUUGGUCAUAUUAAUGUGGAAACACUUCAUUUUGAGAUAACUAUAUGGCAUUUUGAUGUAGCUCAAAAACAGAGGUGAAUGACUUUCUCUAAGUUUUCUUUUUCCAUAGAAGGUCUGAGAUUGGCCGCUUUGGGGAGAGCUAGGGCAGUCUGCCAGUUCUCCAGCAAAAGGGCUGCAGGGCAGUUAUGCCAAGAGCUCUGAGUGUCAAUCUGGACCCCAUGCUGUGCCUCUUGUUACCGUCUGCACCUGCCAACGGCUGCUUUCUGCUCCACCUGCUUGGAGUGCAGGCCUGGCACCGCAAAGUCUGCCUUGGCAUGCUGCGUGUGUCUGGGUGCAAGAGUGUGCUCACACAUGCCUGUGUGUAUGUAGACUCGGUUGUCACAGUGCACAGGAGCAAAAACAGCAGCUGCAUGUGGGCCUUGGUCUUCUCUACCCACACGCUGCCAACCAGAUUUGAAAUCAGGCUCUCCUUUCUCAGGACUUUUGCUGUAUUGAGCCAGCAAAAGAACCAGUGAUAACAAGGCAAAGAGAAGAUAAGCUUCGAGGAGGCUGAUGGAGCUGUUGGCCCGCACAUGUAAGAGGAUGCAUCUCGACACAGCUGUUAGAAGGACCCCGGGCUCUGGGCUUCCUGCCUGUUGGCACUUUGUCUCCUGCUUGAACCAUGGGGAUUAAGACAUUUAUGAUUUUACCAAGUGUGCCAGUGGCUCCACCAUGGGUUGGGAGGCCUCUGCGUGGUUCAGGGGGGACACGUCUCUGCCUGGAGGGCCACAGAGGCAGGACGGGCUCAUAGGCACUGUGGGGACACCACACCCACUCAGCGUUCAGCCCUGGUUGUGUAGCUGUCGCUGCCACAGGCUGAUGAGCAGUCUCAAAGACAAGGUCGUUGGGCCACUCUGGCUUUCAGAUGUCUCGGAAAACAGGGAUGACCUCCAUGACCUGCAUGUCAGCCUUGGUGGGGCAUCAGGAGAUAACUGGCAUAGUCAACAUAACCCGUGAAAGUGGAGGUGAUUUUUUUCUGUCUUCUUGUCAUCAGCCAUUUGCUCCCUUUUCAUGUUUUUAAAUGCAUCUUUGAACCCUGGUGCUAUUUUACACAUUCUCUAGUUAGUUGGGUGUUGUUUGGGUGACUGUCAUUCAUCCUUUCUGCCAGUUCCUCGCUGGUUGCAGGGAACCCAGAUUAGCACAAAGGCACCUGCCUUGUUGAACUUGUAUUUUAACAGUGCCAAAGAUGCUGAGUGACCCCAGUGACACAUGUUAAACUCCUUGGAAGGGAGCAGCAGGGGUACACAGAACAUAUGAGGAGAAUCUUUCCCAAGUGUGGCUGUUCACCCCUAAGGCUCCAGGCACUAAGUCUGGAGAACACACAGGACAUAAGGCUCUGCCUUCAGAGACUCCACAGUUUGCUGGAGGUGGAGGUCUGUUAUCCCAGCACUCUGGCAGGCUGAGGUAAGGGAAUUGCAAGUUGGAGUCCAGCCUGAGCAAUUUAUUAAUUUAGUGAGACUGUCUCAAAAUAAAUUAACAGACUAAUUAAUUAAUGAAUGAAAAUUGAGGAUGUAGUUCAUUGUGAA